rnacentral:rRNA from 1 species
UACGAGGGGUGCAAGCGUUGUUCGGAAUUACUGGGCGUAAAGAGUGUGUAGGUGGUGUCGUAAGUUUGGUGUGAAAUCUCCCGGCUUAACUGGGAGGGUGCGCCGAAGACUGCGAUGCUGGAGUAUGGGAGAGGAAAGCGGAAUUCCUGGUGUAGCGGUGAAAUGCGUAGAUAUCAGGAGGAACACCUGCGGUGUAGACGGCUUUCUGGACCAUUACUGACACUGAGACACGAAAGCGUGGGGAGCAAACAGG